rnacentral:lncRNA from 1 species
CGAGUGUGCUGCUGUGCGAGGGGGAUCCGCCGCGCCCUUGCUCUGUCCGUGCCGCCACCGCCGUCGCCGCCGCCGCCUCUGGUGGCCCCCACGCUCGCGCUGCUCCGGGUGCUCUCUGCCACCGCUGCCGAGGAAACUGACGGAGCAGGAGCGCGGCGGCGGGGCUCGGAGCUCGACCAGUCAGCUGAUCCGGCCCACCCCGCUAGGCACCCGAGAGAGACCCCUAGCGGCGCCGCCGGGGAGCUGCGCGCGCUCGGCCCGGCAGGGGCCCGCGCCCCGGUGCCCGCAGGUGCAGCGCCCCCGGCUCCUGCAGUCCCCCGAGCCACCCCGGCCGCCGGCCACCUGGGCUCCGCGAGCAGCAGGAGGGAGAGGCUGGGGCGAGGAGCGGGACGGUGCAGGCUCAGGGAAAGACUGGCCCUGAGCUAACAUCUACUUCAUACGUGGGACGCCUACCACAGCAGAAUGUGCACACUUAACCGCAGCGCCACCGGCCGGCCCCUGUUUUUUGUUCUUAAAGGUAAGCAGUCUCACCAGAAUAUAUCAUUGAUUACUGGAACGAAUCACUUUUCCCCAGAACAUGGUAUGGAACCCAAUAUCCUAAGAUUCAGGUCUCCCUUUAUUUCAGAAAUGUGUUCUAUUUAACAUUUGAGUAUUACUUUUGGAUCCAUUUGUUUGACUUUCAUCAU